rnacentral:ncRNA from 1 species
CUGCCACAACGGCUUCCUGACGUGGCGGAUAAAUCUACUGGAGCA